rnacentral:lncRNA from 1 species
CCGCAAUCUCCUGUCGUUUCUGUUCCAGGAUUUUCUGCUGCUCGUUUGUGUGAUCCACAAUAUUUUUCCCUCCCACCAGAAGCUUGCUUUCCAUUGCCUUGAUUUUAGCACUCAGCAUUUCUGUUGCUUCCUUCUCUCGCCUCAAGUCCUCCAUUUUCUUCUCCUUCUCUUUCAGCAGUCUCAUCUUUUCUUCGGCUACCAAGCUGUGAUCCUCAACAAUAGCUUUCUUUUCAAUCUCCAGCUUUUCUUGCUGCUCUCUCCAAUAGUCAUCUUUGUCAUCUCCUUCAUCCUCACCCUCUUCAGUAUCCUCCUCUUCCUCCCCACCCUCUCUCCUCCUUUCCCUCCUCUUUCUUUUGCCAAUAGACCGCUUUUCCAGCUGUGCCUUGAGUCGAGCAAUUUCUUCCUGGAAUUCACGCAGCAGAGCAUCCUUAGGAUCCUCAUUCACUCUUGGCUUGUUCUUGAUGUUUUUGGCACGAUUGGCGUAUCUCAGCGUCGU